rnacentral:sRNA from 1 species
UGACUUAACCCUGGGCACCCCCAACCCCCUACGUCUCUUGGCUCUCCUAACUCCCUCUCUCUCUGAUGACCCUGCCCAUCUUCUUAGAACAAGGUUGGCCAUUUUGCAUCCCAAUUUCUGGGCUACCAGCAGCAUGACUCUCAGGAGCUGCUGUCAUUCCUCCUGGACGGGCUGCAUGAGGACCUUAAUCGGGUGAAGAAGAAGGAGUAUGUGGAGCUGUGCGAUGCUGCUGGGCGACCGGAUCAGGAGGUGGCACAGGAGGCAUGGCAAAACCACAAACGGCGGAACGAUUCUGUGAUCGUGGACACUUUCCACGGCCUCUUCAAGUCCACGCUGGUGU